UGGGGGAUAUUGCACAAUGGGGGAAACCCUGAUGCAGCGACGCCGCGUGAGUGAAGAAGUAUUUCGGUACGUAAAGCUCUAUCAGCAGGGAAGAAAAAAAGUCCACAGGACUUUGGACGGUACCUGACUAAGAAGCCCCGGCUAACUACGUGCCAGCAGCCGCGGUAAUACGUAGGGGGCAAGCGUUAUCCGGAUUUACUGGGUGUAAAGGGAGCGUAGACGGCUGUGCAAGUCUGAAGUGAAAUGCCGGGGCUCAACCCCGGAACUGCUUUGGAAACUGUACAGCUAGAGUGCAGGAGGGGUGAGCGGAAUUCCUAGUGUAGCGGUGAAAUGCGUAGAUAUUAGGAGGAACACCGGUGGCGAAGGCGGCUCACUGGACUGUAACUGACGUUGAGGCUCGAAAGCGUGGGGAGCAAACA
rnacentral:rRNA from 1 species